UGAGGAAUAUUGGGUCAAUGGGCGCGAGCCUGAACCAGCCAAGUCGCGUGGGGGAAGACGGCCCUACGGGUUGUAAACCUCUUUUGCCGGGGAGCAACGCUGCGGACGUGUCCGCAGGUGAGAGUACCCGGAGAAAAGCAUCGGCUAACUCCGUGCCAGCAGCCGCGGUAAUACGGAGGAUGCGAGCGUUAUCCGGAUUUAUUGGGUUUAAAGGGUGCGCAGGCGGCGCGCCAAGUCAGCGGUCAAAGUUCCGGGCUCAACCCGGUGUCGCCGUUGAAACUGGCGUGCUCGAGUGCGUGCGAGGAAGGCGGAAUGCGUUGUGUAGCGGUGAAAUGCAUAGAUAUGACGCAGAACUCCGAUUGCGAAGGCAGCUUUCCAGCGCGCUACUGACGCUGAGGCACGAAAGCGUGGGGAUCGAACAGGAUUAGAUACCCUGGUAGU
rnacentral:rRNA from 1 species